GUUGUGGCUCAGUGGUAGAGCACUUGCCUAGCAUGUGUGAUGCCCUGGGUUCAAUUCUCAGUACAGCA
rnacentral:tRNA from 1 species